UACGUAGGGUGCGAGCGUUGCCCGGAUUUAUUGGGCGUAAAGGGCGCGUAGGCGGUCACGCACGUCCGUUGUGAAAUCGCUCGGCUCAACUGGGCGGGGUCAGCGGAUACGGCGUGGCUGGAGCAAGCUAGGGGGCAAUGGAAUUCCCGGUGUAGUGGUGGAAUGCGUAGAUAUCAAGAGGAACACCUGAGGUGAAGACGGGUUGCUGGGCCGACACUGACGCUGAGUGCGCGAAAGCCAGGGGAGCAAACGGG
rnacentral:rRNA from 1 species